rnacentral:rRNA from 1 species
GACGAACGCUGGCGGCGUGCUUAACACAUGCAAGUCGAGCGGAAAGGCCCUUCGGGGUACUCGAGCGGCGAACGGGUGAGUAACACGUGAGUAAUCUGCCCUUCACUCUGGGAUAGCCACCGGAAACGGUGAUUAAUACCGGAUACGACCAAUCCCUGCAUGGGGUGUUGGUGGAAACUUUUUUGGGUGGGGGAUGUGCUCGCGGCCUAUCAGCUUGUUGGUGGGGUAAUGGCCUACCAAGGCUUCGACGGGUAGCCGGCCUGAGAGGGUGACCGGCCACACUGGGACUGAGACACGGCCCAGACUCCUACGGGAGGAAGCAGUGGGGAAUAUUGGACAAUGGGCGGAAGCCUGAUCCAGCAACGCCGCGUGAGGGAUGACGGCCUUCGGGUUGUAAACCUCUUUCAGCACCGACGAAGCGCAAGUGACGGUAGGUGCAGAAGAAGGACCGGCCAACUACGUGCCAGCCGCCGCCGUAACAC